rnacentral:snoRNA from 1 species
CUGCAGCCAAUUAAGCCGACCAUCCCCGUCUACCCAUGGGGGCCUGGUGUGCAGUGGCUGCAACUGCAGCCUUCUUGGUAGUGAACAUGGCCUGUUGCUUGUAUGGGUUGUCCUAAGGGACCUUGGAGACAGCC